UCCGUACAGUACAGCAGCAGUACCGACGUCACAAUGUUCAUCGCCUGGAGAGACAGAACGGUUCAGUGAUAGAUACAGAGGUUUAUAACAACAGAAACAGACAGAUAAAUUAAUGCAGAGGAAACACUGCUGUAAAGGUUAAGUGUGGUGCUGCUGCACGGCGGAAUCAUUGCCGCCACACCAAAAGAAACCAAACAGUUUCAGUAGAGUUCUGUAAAGCAUGUUUGCUUUUCUUGGUAAAUAGAUCAUUUGUUUGGGUUUAACACAGUUCUAAAGGUUAUUUAGCUCUGUGAGUGGUGGCAGGCAGCCUGCAACACAAGGAACACAGAGCACCAGUGACCAGUGUAUGACUGACCAGUGCUCGAUAGACGACAUGCGGCGCGAAACACAAUUCACUUGAAUCACCUGAGUGCUCCAGCUUGAGAAACUGCAAGAUGAGUUUGAAAUAUUUCCAGCCACAGCAGCGAAAGAGAAAAGGGCCGCAGGAACAAGAGUAUCAGGACCUCGAUGACCCAAUGGGUCUGGGCGCAUUCAACAUCAAGGAGGAGGAAGAGAGGGAGAGGCCAGGCGAAGACCAAGACCAGAGAUCAGUUCUGGGCUCGGUUCAGAGAGGAGGCAGUUCUUCCAAGCGCCAGAAGCUGCUGUGCUGCUAGAGUGGCCCUCUUAUAAGCAACGUGCUAGUUGGAGCAUUCAAGGGGUUUGACCAGCAAUGAUAAAGCUGGCCACGCAGUUUGAUGAGUGGGGGCAAUCUACCCCUGCCUUAACCAGCUGGCAUGCAAACGCACCGACUAUACCAGUGUCUUCCGUUAAUUGUUAGAGGGUGUCAAAACAGACUUGAGGAAUAGACUGCAGGGAGAGCAUCUCGCCGCCUGCAUGCGGCUCUCCAUCAACGCCACCCAGGAGUUCAAUUACAGGAAGGCGUUGGAAAUAUUUUUACAAAAGCCCAGAAGAAUAAAGUGCUCUGACAAGCUGUAAACUAUGUCAGAACUAGGUUUUUGUCAGAACCUGGAAAGAGAUUUUCAACGCCCUCCUUUUGUGAUAAACAUGAAUUAGUGGGCUUUAAUUCAUGUUCAGUCAAAUGUUCGUUCCUCGGUUCAUUUUGUCAAGAUAAACAUUUUUAUUUCAG